rnacentral:rRNA from 1 species
GAUUUCUGGCGAACCGUUGCGGCCCGUGCCCUUCUCGGGCGUGUGCGCCGUGUCGUGUUUGUCAUCCUUCCAGAGAGCUGCGUCUACCAUUCACUUGGCCGGACGUACGCGAUCUGGAUCGAUUACUUUGAAAAAAUUAGAGUGUUUAAAGCAGGCUUAUGCCUUGAAUACAUUAGCAUGGAAUAAUAAUUUAGGACUUCGGUCCUAUUUUGUUGGUUUCUAGGACAGAAGUAAUGAUUGAUAGGGACAGUUGGGGGUGCUAGUAUUCCGCGGCCAGAGGUGAAAUUCUUGGAUUCGCGGAAGACUAACUACUGCGAAAGCAUU